AAGGAUAACCGCUGAAAGCAUCUAAGCGGGAAGCCUGCUUCGAGAUGAGGACUCCCACCCCCUUUGAGGGGUUAAGGCUCCCUGUAGAUGACGGGGUUGAUAGGCCGGAUCUGGAAGCACGGUAACGUGUGGAGGUGACCGGUACUAAUAGGCCGAGGGCUUGUCCAUA
rnacentral:rRNA from 1 species